rnacentral:piRNA from 1 species
UGACAAACAGCAAUGACCUUUGUGA